GACGAACGCUGGCGGCGUGCUUAACACAUGCAAGUCGAACGGAAAGGCCCUGCUGUUGUGGGGUGCUCGAGUGGCGAACGGGUGAGUAACACGUGAGUAACCUGCCCUUGACUUUGGGAUAACUUCAGGAAACUGGGGCUAAUACCGGAUAGGAGCUCCGGCUGCAUGGUGGGGGUUGGAAAGUUUCGGCGGUUGGGGAUGGACUCGCGGCUUAUCAGCUUGUUGGUGGGGUAGUGGCUUACCAAGGCUUUGACGGGUAGCCGGCCUGAGAGGGUGACCGGCCACAUUGGGACUGAGAUAGGGACCAGACUCCUACGGGCGGCAGAAGGGGGGAAUAUUGCACAAUGGGCGGAAGCCUGAUGCAGCAACGCCGCGUGCGGGAUGACGGCCUUCGGGUUGUAAACAGAUUUCGCCUGUGACGAAGCGUGAGUGACGGUAAUGGGUAAAGAAGCACCGGCUAACUACGUG
rnacentral:rRNA from 1 species